UGACCACCUGGGGUUCUUAGUGCACUACAACGCAAUUCUGAAUAUACUGUUGAGCGAAGGGUGUGCUCUUCAGUCACAUGACUUUCAAUCCAUUAAAUCCUUCUACAAUGUUGCUGAGAACAUGGUGCUAUUCUUGUUCAACGCAGGCUGCAAAAAUAUGGCUACAGGAUUUAUAGGCGACCUCAAGAUGUGGCAAGGUACGUCACCCUCGCCCACGUGAAAAGCACGCCGAGCGAGCAAAGAAUGGGGCUCCUCAACCGCUGGUCAAGCCGCAUCACCACGGACGGUCUAAACAGCCUCAAGUACAGACGCAUGGACAUGGCGUUCAAGAAGCUCUACACUUGGAUUCUGGUAGACCUGCGAGAGCGCAAAUGACCUUGAAGAAGAGCCCAUCGGAAUGGACGCCCUGGAGUUCACGCUUCUAUAGCAGUUCAGCAUGUACGUACAAACAACGGCACGAGACAUAGUUUCGCCUGCCAAGCGCAGCAAGACGAAGUGUCACAGGGAGAAGACAACAUAGGUGCCAGUAUUCGUCUUGUCAGUCUUCGUUUUGCUGCGCUUUAUUCCAUUUCUGCAGUCAUGCAACACCAACUAUCUCAACGUCGCUCACUGCUGCGUAUUUCAAAGACUGUGCACGUGUAACAUGUUCCGCAAUACUGUGGUUUAUUUAGAACAGAGUGCAACUACUUAUCGAUUUACACACUUAUCCUUUUCGUCGGGCGAUACGUUUUCUAUGGCGUGUUCGCAGAGGUCUGUUCAAAGUGAUAUACUCGCAGUGACCGCGGCACGUAAGCAGUGAGAUGUAUGCUUUCUUUUUUUUUUUUUUGGUGUGACGCUCAUCGUAAAGCUCUACCUAGUGUCAUCAACACGGACGGACGCCUCAGUUUCUGCGAAGAUUUGUGAACUGCGAGCUUGAGUGCUGUCUUCUUGCUGUGAUUUUCUAUUAUUGUUUUUUAUUUACUUGACGAAAAACUUGGUGAUACAUUUUACGUACACGUCAUAACAUAAAUAAACAUACAAAACUAAG